rnacentral:rRNA from 1 species
AAUCAACGCUGGCGGCGUGCCUAACACAUGCAAGUCGAACGCGAAAGCCCCGCAAGGGGUAAGUAGAGUGGCAAACGGGUGAGUAACACGUGGGUGACCUGCCUUCGAGUGGGGGAUAACGUCCCGAAAGGGACGCUAAUACCGCAUGACAUCCUGCUUUUGAAAAAGCGGAGAUCAAAGCUGGGGAUCGCAAGACCUAGCGCUUGAAGAGGGGCCCGCGCCUGAUUAGCUAGUUGGUGAGGUAACGGCUCACCAAGGCGACGAUCAGUAUCCGGCCUGAGAGGGCGGCCGGACACAUUGGACCUGACACCCGGCCCAGACCCCUCGGGGAGGCAGCGGUGGGGAAUUUUUCGCAAGGGGCGAAAGCCGGACGGCGCAACCCCGGGGGGAGGACGAAGUUCUUCGGGUCGUAAACCCCUGUCGGGCGGGACGAACGCUUCGCGGAUGAAUAAUCCGCGGAAUUGCCGGUCCCGCUAAAGGAAGCCCCGGCUAACUCCGU